rnacentral:tRNA from 8 species
CGGGAUGUGGCUCAGCUUGGUAGAGCGCUGCGUUCGGGACGCAGAGGUCGCAGGUUCGAAUCCUGUCAUCCCGACCA